AGACUGUUUUCUUCUUUUGCUUUCCCAGAUGAGUACACUCUUGCUGAAUAUAACACACCCUGUGCCCAGGCUGCUGGUGACAACUUGCUAGGAGUCAGGAGAAGGAGAAGUGACAGCUGUGAAAGUGUGAUGAUGGAUUCCUCCUGCUCUCAGUGACUGAGCUGGGAGAGGGCCAUUUAAUAAAUGCCACACUUACAAUCA